UUUCCGUAGGUGAACCUGCGGAAGGAUCAUUAUCAUGUAAUUCAGUCCCCUUGGCUGUGUUAUAUAUAUACCCACUCUGUGUACCUUCUCCUGUUGCUUCCGCUGGGUGUGUAAUUCGCCCGGCGGAAGGGUAAAAAUAACCUCUGAGUAUUGAUGGAAUCUCUGUCUGAACCGAAUAGAAAGAAAAAUGUUAAAACUUUCAGCAACGGAUCUCUUGGUUCUC
rnacentral:misc_RNA from 1 species